AUUGAACGCUGGCGGCAGGCCUAACACAUGCAAGUCGAGCGGUAGAGAGAAGCUUGCUUCUCUUGAGAGCGGCGGACGGGUGAGUAAUGCCUAGGAAUCUGCCUGGGAGUGGGGGAUAACGUUCGGAAACGGACGCUAAUACCGCAUACGUCCUACGGGAGAAAGCAGGGGACCUUCGGGCCUUGCGCUAUCAGAUGAGCCUAGGUCGGAUUAGCUAGUUGGUGGGGUAAUGGCUCAACAAGGCGACGAUCCGUAACUGGUCUGAGAGGAUGGUCAGUAACACUGGAACUGAGACACGGUCCAGACUCCUACGGGAGGCAGCAGUGGGGAAUAUUGGACAAUGGGCGAAUGCCUGGUCCAGCCAUGCCGCGUGUGUGAAGAAGGUCUUCGGAUUGUAAAGCACUUUUAGUUGGGAGGAAGGGCAGUAAAUUAAUCCUUUUCUGUUUUGACGUUACCGACAGAAUAAGCACCGGCUAACUCUGUGCCAGCCGCCGCCGUAA
rnacentral:rRNA from 1 species